GAAAUGCGAUAAGUAAUGUGAACUGCAGAAUUCAGUGAAUCAUCGAAUCUUUGAACGCACAUUGCGCCCGCCAGUAUUCUGGCGGGCAUGCCUGUUCGAGCGUCAUUUCAACCAUCAAGCCCCGGGCUUGUGUUGGGGACCUGCGGCUGCCGCAGGCCCUGAAAAGCAGUGGCGGGCUCGCUGUCACACCGAGCGUAGUAGCAUACAUCUCGCUCUGGGCGUGCUGCGGGUUCCGGCCGUUAAACCACCUUCGUAACCCAAGGUUGACCUCGGAUCAGGUAGGAAGACCCGCUGAACUUAAGC
rnacentral:misc_RNA from 1 species